UAAUGAUGCUUUAUUUGAUUGACAUCACAUCAUCAUAAAUGGCAUCUAAUUUCAGAAAACAAAGUUCAAGUCCGCAAAAAAUGCAUGUACAAAUCUAAGGAGAUAGGUCUACAGAAAUAGACACGUGGCUCUGUGGUCCGUAAGGUGCAGUCAGGAACCUCACAUCCUAGGGUCUGUCUGGGUUCAAUGUUCCAGUGGCGUGAGACAACCAAGGAAACAGACACCCCAAAGAGCCGAUGUUAUUUUUGAAUAUAUAUAUAUGUAUAUACAUGUACAUAUGUAAAUAUGUUGCCUUCAUCUGUAACAGUGCAAACCUCUCACAGCGUGCAAAGCAACAGUGUUUCCUACAGUCAAGUAACUAAAUCAGUGAAAAGUUAUCCACACAGCAUUAUAAAAACAUUAUAUAAUUACAUAGCAGAUAUAUAUGCACGCCUUUGCACGCUGAUUAGAGUUACUUGCAUUGACUUUUGCUUUAGAAGAAAUAAAAAAGGAAAAUCUUUAAAUAGUUCUUCAUCAAAUAAAAGGUAACAAUUUGUAACAGAUUCAACUAUGAACAGGUAUUGCAUCAAUAUGUCUACAAUAGAAAAACAUAAAUAUAUAAAAACAAAGGCAAAGGGGUCAGCUACACAUAUUAACUUACCAAACAUACAUGUUCUAUUGAAAAACUGAUCCCCAUUCACACCCUCCAGGUGGGAGGAUAAGACUAUAAAAAUGGGAAGCCAGCGUGUGGGUGUGGUGUUCUAUUUUAUUAGCAAUUUGGAUGAUAGGAUGUUUUGCUACUGUUUUCAGUUGGCCAAUGACAUAAUAGUGAGAUACUGAUUAUUAAGCUUGGGAAGCUGGUAGGUCAUGGAAAAGAGACCCCAAGAUGCAUAAUGACAGACAUGUAAAAAUGCAAACGUGUAAAAAUGAAAUCACUGCCGUGGUUACUACUAUAUUUUCAGACAAACCAAAUUGUGGUACCAUUCAGAUUAGACGGCGUUCAGGGAUCUCCAGGAGUCCACGGAUAUGGGGUUGUCAACCCUAAACCCACGUACUUCAUAAUUUCCUAACCUUCCCCUUCAAGGCCAGAUGCAUUUCAACCUGCCAGAAGGGGCACAUUAGGGCCCCCUAAGAGGCACGAUUGUUUGAGUAACUUCCCCAGAAACGGACAUGUCUGCUGCUGCCUCAGCUGCAGCACUCUCAUUGGGCAAGCUGUUUUCUAGAGGCUCAUAGGCAGGUGCGGUGAGCAGUGAAGAGUCAAAUUAAUUCUGAGCGCCGGCACUCAGAGCUUCAGAAGCCUCCUUAAAGGGAGAUUUGUCUGGGGGACUAGAGGACUGGCCCCCACACAGGUCACCAGGGAGGGUCCUGCCUCACUGCUCGGGGGCUCACCAGCCAGGCCUCAGCAUCUCUGCCCCACUCACCGGCCCUCAUGGUAAUGGACCACAUGGGUCAGAGGUGACAGCAGGUGGCUUACACAUUUCCAGAGAUCUGAUCUCGUAACCUCAGGGACCAUAAAAUAAAAAACAUUUCUUACUGUGUGCAGUAUCAGGGCCACGUUUAAAGUCAUGUGCAAAGUUUAGGCCAAAGGCACUCAAAGUGAUCAGCCAGAUUCUCUCGUAUGUUUGUUCAGUGCAGACACACAGACGAUGGUGGCGCGCUAUUGAGAGAAAACAGCUGAAAGUAAAGUAAUAAUUUUGAGUUUUGCUACUUUUUGGUUAUGUGGCUUGAGCUCAUGCCUUUCCCAAGAUCUCGGGGGCUAGAAGACUGUCCCCAGAACCAUGAACCCCAGUGAAACAAAUACAUAUAUGCCCGUGGCUGUGUCCUCAACCUGGACCUGAAAGGCAAGUGGCCAUGGGGGUGGCUUUCUGGAAAAGGGGAGGGGCUUGGGCAAGCUUAGCCCACAGCUGCAGAGAAAACCCUCAGGGCGGGCUCUGCCAGCGGGUCCAGCACGCCCUCAAAAUGCAGCGCCCUCGUCCAGCCGGCAGCCCCUGCCUGUGUUUGCGAAGAAUCAAGGUGCUUUUGUGCUUCUGUUCCUUUCUCUUCAGCUUUACAACGGCCAUUCUACAUGGAAAAGCCCCCAAACGGUGCCUCUAUAAACAGUAAACCCUUGCCAGGCUGGAAUGUGGUAGCCAGUGGCAUGGACCGUUUUCUCCUUUUGAUGCCAGGAGAGUAUUUCUGAGAACAGGGAAGCCUCAGGGUCCUAACCCCAGCCUCUGCUCACAUGUGUGUCAUUCACAUAAACCCCAGGCAAAGCAGGGUUCCUGGGUGGGCCUCAGGCACACUGGGGCAGGCCACACGUGUCUGUGUGAGGGGUGAUUCCAGGUUGGCCUGUUCAGAGAUAACAUAAAAAAACUAGGCUAAGGCUAAACCCUUCUGUUUCCUCAAAUAUGGAAAAAAGAAACGGGCAGGAUGUAGGAUAGCUAUUAGGAACUUUAGGUCAGCAUAGCAGAAGGAUGUGCGUGUGUGCCUGUCCCCACAUUUCCUUCCUGCCCAGGACACGUGGAUUUUAAGGACAGCCUGAAUUGAGCUUGUAAGUGAAAAUUAGACUGUGCCAUGGGGGUGCAGGGUCUCUUAUUUCUUCCCUGCUUCUGGUCCCAGGGAGGUUCCCCAAAAAGGUCAGCCCCACAAGUGGACAUCAGAAGCCCCUGUCUUUGCAGGGGGCAAUUAUCUUGGAGGAACCUCCCUGACGGGACAGCCCAAGUACAGUGGCUUGGAAAGGACCGUGACUUUAACAUUACUGGGACCCAGGGCGGCCGGGCCGUCCAGAAAGGCUGGGGUUACCGAGGGGGGAAGAAAACUGUGCAUCGCGAGCUUGUGUGCACGCCUGGGGCAGCCUUCGAUUGUGCCUGCCCGCCAUAGGAGGAGUGCAGGGGCCACUGCGGGCCGAUUCUGUGACCUCACCCAGCCCGGCUCUCUGCUCUGUGUCCCAGAGGUGGGAGGGAAGCUGGAUUUGAAAGCCCAGUUCUAAGCCACUGGUGUCCCGGAAAGUCUUCACUCUGAGGGUCACUGCCUGGCCGGAGCUCGGGGAACCAUGGGCUAAUGCAGCACAUAACACUGAGCAACUGCUAGGCCCUGCUCACCUCAACUUUGGGACCAAAACCUCUAGAGGGGCUGCCUUCCCCACUAGCAGCUGCCUCUACAGAGCUCAGCCUGGGAGAUGGGUUUCCAGCAAAGCAGAGUAAGGAAGAAGCGACGUCGCCCUGCCAGAGCUACCGCCCCAGAGCCCCGGUUGAGGGAGCCCCUGCAAGGGUGGAGAGGACCAAAGGGAAGGUGUGGCCCAGUGCCCUCCUGCUAGCCCUGCCUCGAGCCUCCUCCAGGCACAUUUCGAGGUCAUGGCCAACAUCACGAGGCAGGAGGACAUGGGUGAGGAUUCUGGGAGAACAGAAAACACAAAACUUUAAGACAAUUCAACAUAAUACAUGAACAUCAUCGAGAAAGGGCUCAUCUACAGCCACGUCUUGGACCAGAACAUGAGCGACAAAUCAGUGCUCUUCCCAGAGGGACAACAAACGCAUUCUAGACACAGCCUAAGAAUCCAUCGACUUAGGAGAAUGCAAAGCCAAUCACUUGAAGCAUCUGACGCUGAACACAGGUAAAAAGUUUUAUAUAAAAUAUUUUAUUAGAGUCUUUAUUCUUUAUAAGUAUCUAACUUUAUAUUUAUACGCUCUGCGCCUCCCCCGCCUGGCCAGUUGGGUUGUUUUGUCUAACGUUCAUUGCGUUCUAAUUCGGCUGGCAUUUGACUAAGGCCUUAAUGGGUUUUGACUAUACUCUUCCCAUCUGCACCACAGACCUGGAAUGAGAGAGGUUUUUCUUUUCUUCUUGCAGUAAAGGCUGAUUGAGGAUUCAGAAGCUGGUAUUCUAUGGAGAUGAGGGAAAUAUCAUAGAAUAAUACUAUCAAACACACGCCUGGAGCCAAGUCUGCACACCUGCAUGUAUGUGUGUGCAUGUAUGUGUGUCCAUGUGCAUGUGUGUGCAUGUAUGUGUGUGUAUGUGUGUGUAUGUGUGUGUCCAUGUGAGUGUGUGUGCAUGUGUGUGUGUGCGUGUGCUUGCAUGCAUGUGUGUGCAUGUGUGCACAUGUGCUUGUGUGUAGGUAGACACAUAUACACCAUACACGCACACACACACACCAGCCCCUGUAGAGCCUGAGCUAGUCCACAGGACUGUUGCAAUAGGAGGAGCAGGCAAGGGCAGAGGACAGCCCCUCUCCACGGAGAGGUACCUGUCACGAGUACUCUGAUGCAAGGCCACUGAAGGGCGUUAGGCUUGGGUUGCCCUCUCAUCUCAGCCACCUGUUUGGUAACAGAAGGAAUCACUGAACGAACAGCCACUAAGCUAGUAUUGCACUUUAUGCCUUACAAAGCAUCUCAGAUACAUUCAUACGCCAUGAACAGGAGGCAGUAAACAAAACAGGGACUUCAGCGUCCAACUGGGCUGGAAUCCCAACUCCGCUCCUUCCUCGUUCUGGGGCCCUGGGGACGUCACGGAGCCUCUCCCUGCCUCCGCGUUCCACGUCUGCACCAUGAGCACGGCUAAGCCAAGUGGCCACGCGGUUCCCUCCCACCACACUGGAGGGCAAGCCCACGUUGGAGUCCCCUCCCCCUCACCCCCAGGGCCUGGGACAGCACCAGGCGAGAGGGGUGGGUCAGUAAGGGUUUGAGGAGUGGGCAGGGGACAGGGGGUUCUGAGGACAUCCAGCCCAGUGCCUGGAAACAGCCACGAGGAAAGGUGCUCGGUGCACCAGAGUCGUGCCUUCUCUUCCCACUGCAACAACCAAGCCCGGUUUCUGCCCCAUGGGUGUGGUCUGUCCCUGAUGUCAGGCUGGGGGAAUGACUUUUUGUGGGUUUCUAAGAUGAGUUUUCACCUCAAAGCUCCAUGUACCAUUUCCUGGUCCUGAAGGCGCCUCCCCCAGGUGAUGUAAUCCAAUUCUGGCACUGACUGCAUAAAACUUUGCACAGUUACUCCCCUUCCUGGGCACAGCUUCCCACUUCACCCACACAGGGAGUUUCGGAGAAUUCAAUCUCCAGUGGAUAUUCAGCCAGAGGAGAAGAAAGAGAGGCACAAAAUGCUUUGGAUGAGGACAAAGGCAAAAGGCCCCAGCAGUUUCCCUGAAACCUCCAUUUUCACCUCUACUAACCACUGGGGCAUCUGCAAAUCUUUUAUCCAAGGUUUAAUCCUUCCUUCUAAUGGAAGAAACUCAACCAGAGAUGAAAGGAAUAUCUUGGUCAAUGCAUUCAGAAAUUACUGAAACAAAUUAGAUUUGGGGAGUUGGUCUGGGUUUAACGUCCAACAUGUGAAAGAUAGCACAUUGCCGUGUGUGUCUUAACCACAGCUGGUUAGAAAAGUAAACCAGUGAGUUGCUUGAUAUUAUCUUAGGCCAUUGGAAUAAGGCAUUUUACCAAACUACCUUAACACAAAAAGCAGUGGGGAAAUAUCUGGGAAUCUAAACAAUGGCAUUUGAGCCAAUGCUGCCAAAGGUUACGAGGAAAAUGCCCAGCCAGGGACCCUUGCUGAACCUGGAAGAGGGAGGAAAAAUGUAGCUUAGAAAGGUUCACUGAUUUUCCCGCAAAAACACAGCCUUUCCAUCGGAAGCCCUGAUUCUAGGAGAAUGAUAUUCUAGAGGGAGUAAACAAUGGCAUUUUCCUAAAGGUGGACUUCUUUGGCCAGAAUCACCUUCUCUGCAUGUAGUCAAACUGCUUCUGAGAGCUGACAAACUCACAGGCAGCCUUGUUGUGAAUUCAAAGACCACUUGACCUCCAGAUAGGCACCUGUUUCUGCCCUAGCGGGAUUUGACUUAUGUGAUUCAGUCAUAGGAAAGAAGCGGUUUCCAACGUGCAAAGUUUACACAGGCCUAACACUGAGGCGGUGAUGCAGCUGUGAGGUCGCAAAACCCAGAGAUGAAAUCUCCCACCACUCGAAGUGCGUUGUUUGAUCAAGUUUCAAAUGCCUCCACAUGCUGAAGUCUACUGACUUCGUCCUAAGCCCUUGGAUUCUGAUGCCAUCUCGUUGGCCUCCUCCCCUCUUGCACAGUUAGCCCAUCUUUCACUGCUGGCCACUCCUGCUGAGCCAACCCUCAAAGGUCGUGCCUGAAUUUCCCUAAGCCCCAUUCUUCCAGGUUCAGUGGAGGCAGCUGAGGUGAUACAGGAGGAAAGGGAAGCUGUUUGUUUGUUUGUUUAAAUCAACCUAGGCAAAAUUAAAGGUAGUCAGAAAGUUAGGAAGAAACAAACAAUAUAUUUCGCUUAAAAUAAGAAGCACGUGGAAAAAGAAAGACUUUGAAAGAGUUGGCCAAUGUCUUCUCACAAUUUUUUGUAUAGCUUUUAAAAAUGUCUGCAUGGCUCAGUGGAGAUGGUGUCCACGUC
rnacentral:lncRNA from 1 species